GACGAACGCUGGCGGCGUGCUUAACACAUGCAAGUCGAACGGAAAGGCCCUGCUUUCGUGGGGUGCUCGAGUGGCGAACGGGUGAGUAACACGUGAGUAACCUGCCCUUGACUUUGGGAUAACUUCAGGAAACUGGGGCUAACACCGGAUAGGAGCUCCUGCUGCAUGGUGGGGGUUGGAAAGUUUCGGCGGUUUGGGAUGGACUCGUGGCUUAUGAGCUUGUUGGUGGGGUAGUGGCUUACCAAGGCUUUGACGGGUAGCCGGCCUGAGAGGGUGACCGGCCACAUUGGGACUGAGAUACGGCCCAGACUCCUACGGGAGGCAGCGGUGGGGAAUAUUGCACAAUGGGCGGAAGCCUGAUGCAGCAACGCCGCGUGCGGGAUGACGGCCUUCGGGUUAUAAACCGCUUUCGCCUGUGACGAAGCGUGAGUGACGGUAAUGGGUAAAGAAGCACCGGCUAACUACGUG
rnacentral:rRNA from 1 species